UACGUAGGGUGCAAGCGUUGUCCGGAAUUAUUGGGCGUAAAGAGCUCGUAGGUGGUUCGGUAAGUCGGGUGUGAAACCUCCAGGCUCAACCUGGAGACGCCACCCGAUACUGCUGUGACUGGAGUCCGGUAGGGGAGCGUGGAAUUCCUGGUGUAGCGGUGAAAUGCGCAGAUAUCAGGAGGAACACCAGCGGCGAAGGCGGCGCUCUGGGCCGGUACUGACACUGAGGAGCGAAAGCGUGGGUAGCAAACAGG
rnacentral:rRNA from 1 species